GUGCCAGCCGCCGCGGUAAUACGGAGGGAGCUAGCGUUGUUCGGAAUUACUGGGCGUAAAGCGCACGUAGGCGGCUACUCAAGUCAGAGGUGAAAGCCCAGGGCUCAACCUUGGAACUGCCUUUGAAACUAGGUAGCUAGAAUUCUGGAGAGGUCAGUGGAAUUCCGAGUGUAGAGGUGAAAUUCGUAGAUAUUCGGAAGAACACCAGUGGCGAAGGCGACUGACUGGACAGAUAUUGACGCUGAGGUGCGAAAGCGUGGGGAGCAAACAGGAUUAGAAACCCCCGUAGUCC
rnacentral:rRNA from 1 species